UGCCAGCAGCCGCGGUAAUACGGAGGGUGCAAGCGUUGUUCGGAAUCAUUGGGCGUAAAGAGCGUGUAGGCGGCUUGUUAAGUCGAAUGUGAAAUCCCUGGGCUCAACCUAGGAACUGCAUUCGAAACUAGCAGGCUAGAGUGCCGGAGAGGGUGGCGGAAUUCCCGGUGUAGAGGUGAAAUUCGUAGAGAUCGGGAGGAACACCAGUGGCGAAGGCGGCCAUCUGGUCCGGCACUGACGCUGAGGCGCGAAAGCGUGGGGAGCAAACAGGAUUAGAUA
rnacentral:rRNA from 1 species